AUGCACGGCUUGCGCCGGCGGUGUGGACAAAAGCAGACGCGUGCUGUGCCACCACCUGAAGAGCAGGUUAYUGUGUUAAUUUUCACGUUCGCUUUGAUACUCUUGGCUUGCAUGGAAGGUGCCUGUCGAUGCACUCACUGCUGCCCGUGCAUACACAAGACCAUGACCACUGCCCUGGAGAAGCAUCUUGCGUUCAGAAGGACACACGACCGUGCACGGAAGACUCAUUCGUUCCUGCUCGCAGUGAAAAUAUCCAGCCUCCCUGAGACGUCUCGAUGGGUGGCUCCGAGCAUUUCGCGACAUGUGCGGGGCGAUCGCUGCUCUCCGCGUGCUUACYGGAGGUCGUGACCGAGAGCAUCCGAUCUGCCUCGCGCGAGGCCUUUCUCGGGGAAAAGAACAAUGGAAAAUUCCCUUCCUUUCUGCAGCAAAACCGAGCUCUUGCCACGCGAUUGCUCAUUAGCAGCAGACACUAAUUCCCUUUAUAUUUGUCCACAUUCGGCGUAGCUUUAUAAAAAGUCAGUGCCUGAUAGACUAAAUCAUUGAAAUGAAGACAGGGAGCCAAAUUUAGCCUCCAUUUACUGCCCUCAGGAGAGAUGACCAGAAUGUCAUUAAUAAAGUAAACAGCAGUAGGUGGCUUAUGAGUAAA
rnacentral:lncRNA from 1 species